UACGUAGGGUGCGAGCGUUGUCCGGAAUUACUGGGCGUAAAGAGCUCGUAGGUGGUUUGUCGCGUUGUUCGUGAAAACCGGGGGCUUAACCCUCGGCGUGCGGGCGAUACUGGCAGACUUGAGUACUGCAGGGGAGACUGGAAUUCCUGGUGUAGCGGUGGAAUGCGCAGAUAUCAGGAGGAACACCGGUGGCGAAGGCGGGUCUCUGGGCAGUAACUGACGCUGAGGAGCGAAAGCGUGGGGAGCGAACAGG
rnacentral:rRNA from 1 species